GGGUACCGCUGAAUCCACCCUCCCCUGCAUCGUUCGGUAUAAACGACGCGGAUGGC
rnacentral:ncRNA from 1 species